AUGAGGUGGCGCAUCUGCUUGGUAACCAGUGCAUGCCUGGGGAGUCCUGUGUUGUGGAGCCCUUUACCCAUUUCCUUGGCCAGUUUCCAAUGUGCUCUUGACUUACUUGCAGGCCUUCCCUGCUACUCACAUGGUUUCGGGGACCAGACUUGAAGUUUGAGCAAGAAGGUUCAAUUAGAGGAAAGGUAUUUGGGCCCAAUGAUACCUUUUCAUAUCAGAGAGACCCAGAGGUAAGUAUACCUGGCCACAGGUGUUACCUGCUAGUUAGCCUACUGAAUUUUAUCUGCGUGGCAAUGUCUCUGUUACCCAUCUAUCAGAGCCACUAACUUAUGAAAUGAAACCAUAAGCUCUGGUACAUGGCCACAGCCUCCUGUUCCAUUCCAGGGAAUCCUGAGGAGCUGGACAAAUUGAAAGCAAGGCUCCCAGCUGGGUUUGCCAACACACUCGGAUAAACUCUUUGCAGGAGAAGCCAAUAACUUAAGAGAUGGGUUUUGGAGAAGAGGAAGGGAGAAAUUUAUUUCAGGAGGUAGCAGUCUGGGGAGGUAGCAGGCU
rnacentral:lncRNA from 12 species